rnacentral:rRNA from 1 species
AACGAACGCUGGCGGCAUGCCUAACACAUGCAAGUCGAACGAAGCCUUCGGGCUUAGUGGCGCACGGGUGCGUAACGCGUGGGAAUCUGCCCUUGGGUUCGGAAUAACAGUUAGAAAUGACUGCUAAUACCGGAUGAUGUCUUCGGACCAAAGAUUUAUCGCCCAAGGAUGAGCCCGCGUAGGAUUAGGUAGUUGGUGGGGUAAUGGCCCACCAAGCCGACGAUCCUUAGCUGGUCUGAGAGGAUGAUCAGCCACACUGGGACUGAGACACGGCCCAGACUCCUACGGGAGGCAGCAGUGGGGAAUAUUGGGCAAUGGGCGAAAGCUUGAUCCAGCAAUGCCGCGUGAGUGAUGAAGGCCUUAGGGUUGUAAAGCUCUUUUACCAGGGAUGAUAAUGACAGUACCUGGAGAAUAAGCUCCGGCUAACUCCGUGCCAGCCGCCGCUGUAA